rnacentral:rRNA from 1 species
ACAUAGCGACUAUCGUGGCAUAUCAAUAAGCGGAGGAAAAGAAACUAACUAGGAUUCCCUUAGUAACGGCGAGUGAAGCGGGAAGAGCUCAAAUUUGAAAUCUUCAAGGUUCUACCUUGACGAAUUGUAGUUUAAAGAAGUGUUUUCUGUUGGAGUUUUGGUAAAAGUUCUUUGGAAUAGGACAUCAUAGAGGGUGAGAAUCCCGUAUUUGACCAUUAUCUUCCAGCUGUGUGAUACACUUUCAAAGAGUCGGAUUGUUUGGGAAUGCAGUCCAAAAUGGGUGGUAAAUUUCAUCUAAAGCUAAAUAUUGGCGAGAGACCGAUAGCGAACAAGUACCGUGAGGGAAAGAUGAAAAGAACUUUGAAAAGAGAGUCAAACAGUACGUGAAAUUGUCAAAAGGGAAGCGUUUGACACCAGUGUUGUUUUCUCGAAAAUCAAUUAAAAAUGGCCGGAUUUUGUGUUGUAUUGACCUUAAUCAAGCUUUCUUCACUCUUUUCUUGUCUUUUUUAAUGCACUUUUCGUUUAACAAGUCAACAUCAGGUUUCUUUUGUUGUAAAAGAGUCAUUGGAAGGUGGCUUUCAUUUCGGAUGAAAGUGUUUAUAGCCUUUGAUCUUCUGCAAUCGGAGAGAUUGAGGUCUGCAGCGUAGAUCCUUCGGGGUUAGAUACAUUUGUGCUAAGUUAUAGUUUUUCAUAGACAACAUGUUGACUAUGAUUAAUCAUGUAGCUUACUCGCUUAUGCUAUUUUACCUACGCUUAGGAUGUUGACGAGACUGUCGAUCUC